rnacentral:lncRNA from 1 species
AGUUCCUGCAUGUAUGUGAACUGUUGAAUCACAGCCUGAACCACUGAUUGACCACCUGAGGCAAGCACGGAGUCAGCCGCAGGAGCAAAGACAGCUCCUUGUGGAGGUUGGUUGGUUUGCUCUGUGAGCCUAGGACACAGUACUCAUCUUUAUUUCAAGGAUCUUCAUCUUACUUCAUCCUUCAUUUUCCUUUGUUGGCAACAUGUGGAAAGGGAAGACAGAAACAAUUACAGUUUUGCAGGGCACACACUGUGAUAGUCAGAGCAAGUCAGCCUAAGGAAGCCUAGUCCCUUAACAAAAAUCAACUGCAGAGCUUUAGAAAAUAUCUUCCCUUUUUAUUAUCCUAAACCUGUAGCUAUAAUAAAAAUCUUUGAUGUGGCUUCCUACUUUGAGACUCUGCCCUAAAGUCCUGUUUCUUUAUAUUGUAAUCAUGGAAAGAAAACUGGCAUAUAAAAAGAAAAUAUGGAAAAGUGAAUUAAUCAUUGUAUAAGCAGAAAUGAUCAAUCAUACAUUUUACUACAAAUGUUUAGUGAAUAUCUCGUAGAGAGUAAAGCUUUGUAGAUUUAAAAGAGUACUCUAGCCUCCUGGGACAGCCUCUACUGUCUUUUAUUCAACUACUGAAAAAUCAAAGGACUUGAAAACCAGGCACUGGAACUGGAUAAGAGACAAACUCCCUUUGGGCUCAUGACAAAGAGCAGAUGCGUGUAUCAGGGGAUUUUCAGAAGACAGUUUGAAGGGGAAGACUACUCCUCUCCCACUCUCCACUGCUGCAACCUGACAAGAACCAGGCAAUCUGGUUAAAGAAGCAAAAAAGUGGGGAUUAAUGAUGUUGAGGCAGAGGUCCAUCUGAGAUGCUUCAUCAAGGCUACUGCAGUCAGUGACCACUUCAUUACCCAGAUGAACAUGCUGAUUGAUAUCAACUUCGAUCUGUUUGAUACUGAAUAACAUGCAUACAUCUCUAAAAGACAGGAAAUGUUACCUUUUUUAAGGAAUAUUAGGAUCUUUUGACAAACACAAUUAAAAUCAUCAUUGGAAAAAGUUAUUUUAAAAAUACAUCUCCAGAAUUGCUCUGACCUGCCUACAAAGCUGUAGCUAGGAUAGCUGAGUACGUUCAGCCAGUUAGCGAGUACAGAUUUCAUUUUUUACAUUUACUGCAGGCUAAAUGCUAUCUGUUAUAGACUAUAUUAUCUUGAGACUGACAGAUAACACUUAUUAAUUAUAGAGAUUGGCAUGGGAAUAAUAAUUAAAGGUAGAACCAUAAAUUAUUCAUUCUUAUUUUGUUAAAUUGCAUCCUCGCAUGGAUCAUGAGGAUGUUGGUAAAAAGUUACUUGGUUAUGCACUACAUAAAAGAUAAACCUUCAGGAGAGUACGUUUUGUUCUGUCAGUAGUUACAGACUUUUUGAAUGGUACGUAUGGUUAUAGUUUUUGCUAAAAUUAUGCAGCAGCUUCUCUACUGCUCACAAGGAUUGUCUGAAGUAGGACACCACACAGGCAAUGUAAAUCCUGCAAAUAACUCUAGCACAGCAUCUAGGAAGAAAGCUGUUGGCUUUGUGUAUUGCUGGUUAUUGCAAACGAAUGUGAAAACGCAGGAGCUCAAAAGGUGGAUGCUGCAAAAGCAACAAGGUAUACCAUCAUAUCCUUUGAAGUUAUAGGCAUGAAUCAUCUGGUAACAACGCAGCAAGGCUUCUUAAGAGCAGUGAUGUAUACAAUAUUACCCCUUAGCAAAACAGAGCUUUGUUUAUAGACAGAUUUCUCCUUACAAAAUAAACAAUUAAAAACAGAUGGAAAAAAUAAAAACACUUUUUUCCUGUGUGGCUAUUGGUACUUCAAAGAAUAUUACCAAAAUCACUUCUGAUAGUUCUAUUUCAGUCAUGCUUAGAGAAAAUGAAAACCAACAAAUCCACCAUCAGAUGGAUUAUUUUGCAAAAUAAGCAAUGAAUCUCUAGCUGGAAUUCUGAAAUAACAAAAAGUUUACUGCAUUCAAAUGGUCUGAACUUUGACAUAGAAUUAUCAUCUCUGACUUACAGCGUUAAUGUGAACUUUUCAGGAUAUCCCUGUGUCUGCCAGUUCAUGGAAACUGAAAAUGAAUAUUCAUUUCCAACUAUUGAAUUAUUAAAAUAGUUCAGUUGUAAGGGACCUACAAGAUCAUCCAGUCCCACUGCCUAACCUCUUCAGGGUUAACCAAAAGCUAAUGUUAAUGAGGGCAUUAUCUAAAUGCCUCUUGAAGGCUGACAGCCAUGGGGCACCAGCCACCUCAAUAGGAAGGCUGUUCCAGUGUUUAACCACCCUCACAAUAAAGAAAUUUUUCCUCAUGCUCAGGCUGAACCUCCCCUGGUGCAGCUUUGUGCCACUCCUAUGUCCUGCCAUUGGUGACCAGGAGCAGGGCACAGCAUGUCCCUAAAUUGAUGCUGUCAAAGAUGUAAAAAUACUUCUCAAAUACCUUUUUUCUCUUUCAAAAUUUCAAGAUAAUGGGAGCUACAUCAUUUUGUUGGUCUUGGAUACCUAGAAACGUUGCAUGUAUCUCUUCAUGUCUACAGCUGAAAAAAACUGAAAACGUUUCAAUUUUAUUUGAGUAUUGAAACUUACUAAUGCUGGGAACAAUUUUAAAUAGCAGUUUGAUGCAUGUUGACUUGUAUAUAUAGAAGUAAGAAAAAUUAGAUGUUUUUUUCCUCCAUAAUGGCCUUUUAAAUAAAAUACGUUCUUCAG